UCGCGGCUUGUCACCGGCAGUCCCCUUAGAGUGCCCAACUGAAUGAUGGCAACUAAGGGCGAGGGUUGCGCUCGUUGCGGGACUUAACCCAACAUCUCACGACACGAGCUGACGACAGCCAUGCAGCACCUGUGCACGGACUCCGAAGAGGGGCCGAUGUUUCCACCGGCUUUCCCGUGCAUGUCAAGCCCAGGUAAGGUGGGGAUGACGUAUCUUACAGCGUAC
rnacentral:misc_RNA from 1 species